rnacentral:lncRNA from 1 species
UUUAAAUAAAAUCAACCGCUUAAUUAAAUUAGAGUAGAAAUAUGCAAGAAAAACAACAACAUCAAGGAUAAAUCAACAUCAUUCAUUUAUUUAUUUUUAUUUUGAGAAAUAAUUCAAGCCUUUUUAUCUGGGACUGGUUACCUUAGGGAAGGCAACCUUUAUUACAAUCUUUUUCGACAGAGUAGCAAUUUCCCCUGUUCGGGAGAUCACAACACCAAUAACAUUCUCCUCUAAGGCACUUGUAGGCGCAAAUAUGUAUCUUUAUGCUCUUAUAAAAUCGAUGAUCAUAUCUGGACAAUUUGUCAACAUGCAUCUCCCUGCUGUUGGUGCUAAUAUCCCCAAUGACAUUGCUUUCUUUGCCUAAUGUGUCAUAUUGAAAAGACAAAAAGAUUAAAUUUCAGAUUUUCAAUCGAUACGAGAUUAACUAGUCAAGAACAAGCGACCUAAGGCCAAAAAUCGUGUGGUGUAGUCCACAAUUUUGACAGAUGCAUGUCAUGGUACUAUUUUAAAUAAAAGUUGUGGGGUUUAAUCUACACAAUGCACAAGAACAUAUACUAGCUGAAGAAGAAAGUGAGAAUAUGUUCUAAAAGAGAACUAUGAAAUCGCUUACACUCCAAGAUGGAUACGAAGAUGAUGCAAAAGGCAGCCAGCUGCACUUUGAUUGAAGUUUUGGUUACCAUUGUUGUUUGUGCGAGGCAACUAGCAAAGAGCUUCUUUUGGCGACGAUGUAUAUAAAACUGUGAGGGAGUGUGUUUAUAUAACAAGUGAUCAACAACAGAUAAUCAGUAUGAGAUAUUCAUGUUUGGAAAGCAUCCAACAAUAUUCAAGUGUUAAUUAGUUUCAAAUGAGAGAGAUUUUUCUUUUUUAUUGUAAGCUUAGAUUCUGCUCGCUUUGUUUUUAUUCUUGAUAGAUUUUCUUCCCCAAUUUAUAUCAACUAUGAAGUUAUAGUAUUUAUUACCAAAAAAGCAAACAAUAUGCUCAAUUGAGGAC